rnacentral:rRNA from 1 species
AGGGUUUGAUUCUGGCUCAGAGUGAACGCUGGCGGCGUGCCUAAUACAUGCAAGUCGAACGAACGAAUAAGAGCUUGCUCUUAUAAGUUAGUGGCGCACGGGUGAGUAAUAUAUAGCUAAUCUGCCUCUUAGUAGAGGAUAACAGUCGGAAACGAUUGCUAAUACUCUAUACUUCUGCUUUACAUAAGUAAAGUAGAGAAAGUUUUUCGCUAAGAGAUGAGGCUAUACUGUAUCAGCUAGUUGGUAAGGUAACGGCUUACCAAGGCUAUGACGCAUAACUGGUCUGAGAGGAUGAUCAGUCACAUUGGAACUGAGACACGGUCCAA